CAGGGGUGGUAUAGUACGUCAUCAACAGGUGCGCGCAACACUUCCCGAUGCGGCUUUUUUGUGUCAAAACAUCUCGAUUCGGUACAUGAAAGAUGAAAAAGGAAACAAAACUUCUAGUCUGCAUCAAUGGAAUUGUCAUUAUAUGUUAAAAAGGAUUGCUGAGUGAUCGGCAUGCAAGACAUAAUUGACGUAUUAUAUUUUCCAAAAGCUGUACGACAUAAUAUUUGAGAAGUGGAGAACAUCCUCUAACGGAAUUACCCCAGACAAGGAUUUCAACGCUCAACUAGGUCUCCGUACCAAACUUUGUCACGACUAUGUCGGUUGCUGCUUGAAGGGCCAUGUGAUCAUCACAGUUGCUCGGGGAAAAAUGAGAAAUUACUGUAUCGCGCCAACGAAAUGUUCUUAUUAAAGAGUUUUAGAUGUUCGUAGGGAAAGACCAAGAGUGACUGCAACCGAAUUAUAAUUGCCACGUAGUAGAAUGGGACAUCGAUUGAAUCUACACUAGAAAACGGUUCAGGAUUUAGCAUUUGACUAAUGUUCAGAUUUUGCUUGGAAAUCUUAGUGCACCCAAUUACAUGUUAAAACUCGAAGUGAGCUUGAACAGUGGUAGAACAAUUUUACUUGCAAUGUAAAUUAUUUUGCUUUUCUUAAACUGUUUAGUUGUUGAAAAUGUUGUUGUAUAAAAGAUUAUUUAAAACAGGAAAUUUUACUGAUUUUUUAUUUAAACGCUUACACAGUGGAAGCCGUUGUGACAUAAACAAUACGCACAUACACUCUCAAGACAUAGCAACAUCUUCCUUUUUAUCAGCUAAUGUUAUAUAUUUACACAAAUCAACGAAAGUAGAUUUAUUACUUGAUUGUAGCAAUUCUAAAUUUUAUACACACUUAUAAAUACGAGUAUAAUGAUAACGUUUCAUUAACUUUGGACGUAAUUCUUUAUAACUCAACAUUUAAAAAAAUGAAAUUCACCUUAAGUUUCAUAAGAUCGAAUAUCUGACACAUUCUUUCCACAAUGUAUGCUUUAAUUUUCUUCGAUCAAGAAGAAGUGUACAUCUCUAUGUCACAUAUUCUCAACAAUUGGAAAUAGUCAGACACCACAGAAAGACAUGAAGUGGAGAUCAACAAAAUCAGAAUAUAAUAGGUCUUGAAACAAUUAAACUGGUAAAUGUUGAGGUUUUGCGCAACUACGCUAAUUAUAA